UUUGGAGGUGGUUGAACUGGUUAUUUUGGAGGUGAUGGAACUGGUUGUUUUGGCACUGGUUAUUUUGGAGGUGGUGGAACUGGUUAUUUUGGAGGUGGUGGACCUGUUUUUUUUGGUGGUGGAGGAACUGGUUAUUUUGAAUUUGGUGGAACUGGUUAUUUUGAAGGUGGUGGGGCUGGUUAUUUUGGAGGUGGUGGAGCUGGUUAUUUUGGCGGUGGCGGAACUGGUUAUUUUGGCGGUGGUGGAAAUGGUUAUUUUGAAGGUGGUGGAACUGGUUAUUUUGGAGGUGGUGGAACUGGUUAUUUUGGAGGUGGUGGAACUGGUUAUUUUGGAGGUGGUGGAACUGGUUAUUUUGGAGAUGAUGGAACUGGUUAUUUUGGAGGUGGUGGUACUGGUUAUUUUGGCGGUGGUGGAAGUGGUUAUUUUGGAGGUGGUGGAACUGGUUAUUUUGGAGGUGGUGGAACUGGUUAUUUUGGAGGUGGUGGAACUGGUUAUUUUGGCAGUAGUGGAACUGGUUAUUUUGGAGGUGGUUGAACUGGUUAUUUUGGAGGUGGUGGAACUGGUUGUUUUGGCACUGGUUAUUUUGGCGGUGGUGGAACUGGUUAUUUUGGAGUUGGUGUAACUGGUUAUUUUGGCGGUGGUGGAACUGGUUAUUUUGGAGGUGGUGGAACUGGUUAUUUUGAAGGUGGUGGAGCUGGUUAUUUUGGAAAUGGUGGAG
rnacentral:lncRNA from 1 species